GACGUAGGGCGCGAGCGUUGUCCGGAUUUAUUGGGCGUAAAGAGCUCGUAGGCGGCUUGUCGCGUCGACUGUGAAAACUUGGGGCUCAACCCCAAGCUUGCAGUCGAUACGGGCAGGCUAGAGUGUGGUAGGGGAGACUGGAAUUCCUGGUGUAGCGGUGAAAUGCGCAGAUAUCAGGAGGAACACCGAUGGCGAAGGCAGGUCUCUGGGCCAUAACUGACGCUGAGAAGCGAAAGCAUGGGGAGCGAACAGG
rnacentral:rRNA from 1 species